GGUGAACGCUGGCGGCGUGCCUAACACAUGCAAGUCGAGCGGUGCAGUUUGAAGCUUCGGUGGAAAGCUGCAUAGCGGCGGACGGGUGAGGAAAACGUAGGAACGUGCCCCUUGGAGUUGGAUAGCCACGGGAAACUGUGGGUAAACCGACAUAGACUCGAGAGAGUAAAGGCCGAAAGGCGCCAAGGGAGCGGCCUGCGGCCCAUCAGGUAGUUGGUAGUGUAAAGGACUACCAAGCCGACGACGGGUAGCCGGUCUGAGAGGAUGGCCGGCCACAAGGGCACUGAGAGACGGGCCCUACUCCUACGGGAGGCAGCAGUGGGGGAUUUUGGACAAUGGGCGAAAGGCCUGAUCCAGCGACGCCGCGUGGAGGACGAAGCCCUUCGGGGUGUAAACUCCUUUUCUCAGGGAAAAAGGAUGAUGGUACCUGAGGAAUAAGCCCCGGCUAACUACGUG
rnacentral:rRNA from 1 species